AGGAAGCUUCACAGGCAACCUCUC
rnacentral:siRNA from 1 species